rnacentral:rRNA from 1 species
GACGAACGCUGGCGGCGUGCUUAACACAUGCAAGUCGAACGGAAAGGCCCUGCUUUUGUGGGGUUCUCGAUUGGCGAACGGGUGAGUAACACGUGAGUAACCUGCCCUUGACUUUGGGAUAACUUCAGGAAACUGGGGCUAAUACCGGAUAGGAGCUCCUGCUGCAUGGUGGGGGUUGGAAAGUUUCGGCGGUUGGGGAUGGACUCGCGGCUUAUCAGCUUGUUGGUGGGGUAGUGGCUUACCAAGGCUUUGACGGGUAGCCGGCCUGAGAGGGUUACCGGCCACAUUGGGACUGAGAUACGGCCCAGAAUCCUACGGGCGGCAGCAGUGGGGAAUAUUGCACAGUGGGCGGAAGCCUGAUGCAGAAACGCCGCGUGCGGGAUGACGGCCUUCGGGUUAUAAACCGAUUUCGCCUGAGACGAAGCGUGAGUGACGGUAAUGGGUAAAGAAGCAACGGCUAACUACGUG